rnacentral:rRNA from 1 species
UACGUAGGGUCCGAGCGUUGUCCGGAGUUACUGGGCGUAAAGCGCGCGCAGGCGGCGGUGCUGGCCCGGCGUGAAAGCCCCCGGCUCAACCGGGGAGGGUCGUCGGGGACCGCACCGCUUGAGGGCGGUAGGGGCUGGUGGAAUGCCUGGUGUAGUGGUGAAAUGCGUAGAGAUCAGGCAGAACACCCGUGGCGAAGGCGGCCAGCUGGGCCGACCCUGACGCUGAGGCGCGAAGGCGUGGGGAGCGAACGGGAUUAGAAACCCGCGUAGUCC